GAUGAAGAACGCAGCGAAAUGCGAUAAGUAAUGUGAAUUGCAGAAUUCAGUGAAUCAUCGAAUCUUUGAACGCACCUUGCGCCUUUUGGUAUUCCGAAAGGCACACCUGUCUGAGCGUCAUGAAUACCUCAAUCUCCAUCUUUUCUUCGGAUUGAUGGGUGACUUGGAUGUUGAGCCCUGCUGGUAUGCUAUAUCAGCUGGCUUUAAACUUAUUAGCCGGCUCUGUACUGGAUCGGUUUGACUCGACGUGAUAAUAUUAUCGUUGAGGAUGCAUGUCUCAUGCAGCCGGAAAGUAUCAAAGCAGCUUCUAGCUUGCCUUUAGUGCACUUUUACAUUUUAGACCUCAGAUCAGGUGGGACUACCCGCUGAACUUAAGCAUAUCAAUAAGCGGAGGA
rnacentral:misc_RNA from 1 species